rnacentral:tRNA from 1 species
GGCUGUGGCUUAGCGUUAGAGCACUUGCCUAGCAAGUGCGGGGCCCUGGGUUCAAUUCCCAGCACCA